rnacentral:rRNA from 1 species
UUGAACGCUGGCGGCAGGCCUAACACAUGCAAGUCGAGCGGCAGCGCGGGGCAACCUGGCGGCGAGCGGCGGACGGGGGAGUAACGCGUAGGAAUCUACCCAGUAGCGGGGGAUAGCCCGGGGAAACCCGGAUUAAUACCGCAUACGCCAUAAGGGGGAAACCAGGGGAUCUUCGGACCUUGCACUAUUGGCAGAGCCUGCGUUGGAUUAGCUAGUUGGUAGGGUAAAGGCCUACCAAGGCAACGAUCCAUAACUGGUCUGAGAGGAUGAUCAGUCACACCGGAACUGAGACACGGUCCGGACUCCUACGGGAGGCAGCAGUGGGGAAUAUUGGACAAUGGGGGCAACCCUGAUCCAGCCAUGCCGCGUGUGUGAAGAAGGCCUUCGGGUUGUAAAGCACUUUAAGUGGGGAGAAAGGUUCGGCAGUUAAUACCUGCCGGAAGUGAUGUUACCCACAGAAUAAGCACCGGCUAACUCUGUGCCAGCCGCCGCAGUAA